AUUUUGUUCUUGCUUGCAGUUGUGAAAUUUCACCAGAUGAUCUCUGGCGCUAUGAAUACAGCUGAGUUGCUGCAGAAAAGAAAAUGACAUCAGCUCUUAAAAUCAACACAGCAGAGAAAUUACCAUGCAGCCCUGGUAUUGAGAGAUAUGUGAACAUCACCUGUAUUUCCAAAGAAGAGCUUGAAAUCUAUAGUAAAACACGAGGGGAUGCUGUUUUCGGUCUUCACUGUUCCUGGAGGACAAACUUGAAUGUUGAGAAGAGCAUUGUGUUUAGAAUGAAGUCAUCACAGAUUUCAUCCUGGAUUCCUUACUGACCAAAUACAGGUUUAAACAAAGC